rnacentral:rRNA from 1 species
CGGUGUUUAACUGGCGUGAUGUGGGACGUCCUACCGGUGGGCUUAGCCUCGCGAGGGGCGGCCCACUAAUAUCCCGUCGCGGUGCUCUUUACUGAGUGUCGAGUCGGGCCGGUACGUUUUCUUUGAACAAAUUAGAGUGCUUAAAGCAGGCUAUCCUCGCCUGAAUACUGCGUGCAUGGAAUAAUGGAAUGGGACCUCUGUUCUAUUUUUGUUGGUUUUGGAACCCCGAGGUAAUGAUUAAUAGGGAGAGAUGGGGGCAUUCGUAUUGCGACGUUAGAGGUGAAAUACUUGUAUCGUCGCAAGACGGACAGAAGCGAAAAGCAUUUGCCAAAAAAUGUUUUCUUUAAUCAAGAACGAAAGUUAGAGGUUCGAAGGCGAUCAGAUACCGCCCUAGUUCUAACCAUAAACGAUGCCAGCUAGCGAUCCGCCGAAGUUCCUCCGAUGACUCGGCGGGCAGCUUCCGGGAAACCAAAGCUUUUGGGUUCCGGGGGAAGUAUGGUUGCAAAGCUGAAACUUAAAGGAAUUGACGGAAGGGCACCACCAGGAGUGGAGCCUGCGGCUUAAUUUGACUCAACACGGGAAACCUCACCAGGCCCAGACACCGGAAGGAUUGACAGAUUGAUAGCUCUUUCUUGAUUCGGUGGGUGGUGGUGCAUGGCCGUUCUUAGUUGGUGGAGCGAUUUGUCUGGUUAAUUCCGAUAACGAACGAGACUCUAGCCUGCUAAAUAGGCGUACCUUAUGGUAUCGCGAAGGCCCCCGGCUUCGGCCGGUGGGUUUUUACUACCAACGUACAAACAAAUCUUCUUAGAGGGACAGGCGG